AAUCGCACAGCUGGCAGUAACUUUGUAAACAACACGACUGUGUCUACUACAUGUUGUUCCUUUUCAACGUAAACUGGUAGUUGGUAGCGUAAAACAACAAGCCGUUUAAAUUUAUGACAAUACAAAGCUCCUCUGAGGAGAUUAACUGAGAAAGCAGAACAAUUUGGUGGAACAUGAGAGGUGAAGAGUCCCCUAAUACUCAGCUCUCACACUCCCCACUGGAAGGACAGAGCAUUAUCCCACCGCGCUCCUCGGAUGCUGUCGCUCAGGACAGAAAGAUUUCAUUGAAGUCGUCUUCGCAAAAGAAAAGGAUGAGAUAUCCCUUUGUGGCUCCUCAGUAACAUUGUGUUCAUCGACAAGCUUGCCACAUUCCAUCUUCUGGUUCCCUUAGAAUUCUCUUCUGAGGAGGACAAUGGUGGCUUCCAGAUUUGAGACUUGCACCCCCCCUCCCCCAAGCUCUACUCUCCCUCAGAACUCUAUUAUUCUCCUCGGGCCAAGGGGAGACAUCCUCAUGUCUGAUUUAUAAUAAUUUCAUAUUCACAUAGCAAGAGAAUUCUAGCUCCUUACGGCAAAGAGUAUGAGCGAUAACAAGUCACUGUUUUGUUGGUCUGUCUGUCUCUGUCUCUCUCUCUUUCUCUCUAUGUGUCUGUGUCUAUAAUUCAGGAGACUUUCUGAAAGGAGAAAAAAAUAUAAACAAACUAAAAAAAUCUGUUUCUGGGAAACGCUUUGACAUCGUCUCGUGGUAUUGUGGAUGGGGAGGGGUUGAAGGGGGGGGCGGAUGCCAGAUAAACCUUUUGUAAUCACAGUGAACCGCUGGCCCCAGCUAUGGAUGCUCCAUUGUGCGGAUAUAUUUAUGUAGUUUUAGUGGCUGAUGAAAAGGAGUUCCUCGCAGUUUAGGGAAAGGAUAUGAUCUCAUCUGCAAAGAAUCCGACCUAUGUAAUGCAUUACUCAUGAUUUAACCCAGGCUUCUCCUUGGUGUCCCUUCACCCCCUCCCCCUUGCCCUCCCCUUCCAUUUGCCCCACAAAUCUAAAUUGGUGAAAACAAGAGUUGAAUACAAUGUUCUUAGUAACCUGUACUGCAGUGCACCUCAAAGCACAGGCUCAGACACUAGAGGAAAUGAGCCUGGCUAGACAAAACAGCACAGACAAACGUGUACAACCUAUCCUUCCUCACAUGCAUGUACUGCUGCUUAUCCUCAUGCUGUGUGGUUGAAGUGAGGUAGCAGAAUCGCUGUUAUAUUUCUUAGAAACUGUGUUACCAGCAGUCACAAUGUAAUUCUACAAUAAUGAGAGAGAGAGAGAGAGAGAGAGAGAGAGAGAGAGAGAGAGAGAGAGAGAGAGA